rnacentral:lncRNA from 1 species
CGCUGAGGACUGGCUUCACCACGUACGUGUAUAGAAACGGUGGAGUGGUAGGCGGCUGCCGCGGCUCAGCGCAGUUGCCCGUCGGAGUAGUGUGGGCUUCGUCUAGCCGAUCAUCGGGAGAUGUCGCAGUUCCGGCGAGCGGGCUGCGCCGCUGGGGGGCUAGGGAACCGGAUGAGGCCGGCGGCGCGGAGCGCAUGCGUGAUCUGCGCGUGGGGAGGAGGGAAUAUGCUGUGAAAAUCAUCAAAAAUCUGCGUCCCAAGGGAUUCGAGCACAGGUCGAGCGGGUUGGGAGCCAGCAAACGCAACAUUGAGCUGCG